rnacentral:rRNA from 1 species
GACGAACGCUGGCGGCGUGCUUAACACAUGCCAGUCGAACGGAAAGGCCCUGCUUUUGUGGGGUUCUCGAGUGGCGAACGGGUGAGUAACACGUGAGUAACCUGCCCUUGACUUUGGGAUAACUUCAGGAAACUGGGGCUAAUACCGGAUAGGAGCUCCUGCUGCAUGGUGGGGGUUGGAAAGUUUCGGCGGUUGGGGAUGGACUCGCGGCUUAUCAGCUUGUUGGUGAGGUAGUGGCUUACCAAGGCUUUGACGGGUAGCCGGCCUGAGAGGGUGACCGGCCACAUUGGGACUGAGAUACGGACCAGACUCCUACGGGAGGCAGCAGUGGGGAAUAUUGCACAAUGGGCGGAAGCCUGAUGCAGCAACGCCGCGUGCGGGAUGCCGGCCUUCGGGUUGUAAACCGCUUUCGCAUGUGACGAAGCGUGAGUGACGGUAAUGGGUAAAGAAGCACCGGCUAACUACGUG